rnacentral:rRNA from 1 species
UCUAAGUAUAAGCAAUUAUACCGUGAAACUGCGAAUGGCUCAUUAAAUCAGUUAUCGUUUAUUUGAUAGUACCUUACUACUUGGAUAACCGUGGUAAUUCUAGAGCUAAUACAUGCUGAAAACCCCGACUUCGGAAGGGGUGUAUUUAUUAGAUAAAAAACCAAUGCCCUUCGGGGCUCCUUGGUGAUUCAUAAUAACUUCUCAGAUCGCAUGGCCUUGCGCCGGCGACGGUUCAUUCAAAUUUCUGCCCUAUCAACUUUCGAUGGUAAGGUAUUGGCUUACCAUGGUUUCAACGGGUAACGGGGAAUUAGGGUUCGAUUCCGGAGAGGGAGCCUGAGAAACGGCUACCACAUCCAAGGAAGGCAGCAGGCGCGCAAAUUACCCAAUCCCGACACGGGGAGGUAGUGACAAUAAAUACUGAUACAGGGCUCUUUUGGGUCUUGUAAUUGGAAUGAGUACAAUUUAAACCUCUUAACGAGGAACAAUUGGAGGGCAAGUCUGGUGCCAGCAGCCGCGGUAAUUCCAGCUCCAAUAGCGUAUAUUAAAGUUGUUGCAGUUAAAAAGCUCGUAGUUGAACCUUUGGCCUGGCUGGCAGGUCCGCCUCACCGCGUGCACUUGUCCGGCCGGGCCUUCUCUUCUGGAGAACCGCAUGCCCUUCACUGGGUGUGUUGGGGACCAGGACUUUUACUUUGAAAAAAUUAGAGUGUUCAAAGCAGGCCUUUGCUCGAAUACGUUAGCAUGGAAUAAUAGAAUAGGACGUGCGGUCCUAUUUUGUUGGUUUCUAGGACCGCCGUAAUGAUUAAUAGGGACAGUCGGGGGCAUCAGUAUUCAAUUGUCAGAGGUGAAAUUCUUGGAUUUAUUGAAGACUAACUACUGCGAAAGCAUUUGCCAAGGAUGUUUUCAUUAAUCAGUGAACGAAAGUUAGGGGAUCGAAGACGAUCAGAUACCGUCGUAGUCUUAACCAUAAACUAUGCCGACUAGGGAUCGGGCGGUGUUAUUAUUUUGACUCGCUCGGCACCUUACGAGAAAUCAAAGUGUUUGGGU